GCGUUCGGGUAAUCGCUGCAACGCGGCCCUUCGGCCCGUUGUAGAGGAAAGUCCAUGCUCGCACGGUGCUGAGAUGCCCGUAGUGUUCGUGCCUAGCGAAACCAUAAGCUAGGGCAGCCUGGUCUUGCGACUGGGCUGACGGCUGGGGAACAGCCUAAGUCCGUUAAGGAUAUGGCUUAGUACCCUAUAAAAGUGCCACAGUGACGCAGCUCUAAGGGAAACCUUAGAGGUGGAACGCGGUAAACCCCACGAGCGAGAAACCCAAAUUAUGGUAGGGGCGCUUUCUCCGAGGAAAUGAACGAGGAGAAAGGCGGGGAUUUCCCCGCAGAUAGAUGAUUACCGCCGGCCUUCCGUCCAAGACGGCGGCCGGUACAGAACAUGGCUUAUAGAA
rfam:Caldibacillus debilis strain B4135 NODE_12, whole genome shotgun sequence.